AGAUGUGAGAACAAUUUGGCUGAGACAUCUGUCGCCCCUUUGUUCAUCAGCGUUGAGUCUACCGAUCUGAUUGGUGAGGCAGAUGUCCUCCUUCCUCCCUCACUGCUCCAUGUGCCCCCCGCCUUCCUGAAGCUGCACACAUGGAAACACUGGCAAACAAACAGGAAGGGAAGCCAUGGUCUUGGGUGAG
rnacentral:snRNA from 1 species